UUGGUUUAACUCAUCCCUUAGAGUCCGAUCAUCUUGGCUACAAGGCCAUUCUGCUUUAGACUGUUGGGAAGCUCUUUACUCAGCCCUUAGCUUUUGCCCCUUCGGAAGUUGAUCUUGUGCAGCUAGCAGCCUUCUUGAGUUUGAGUAUUUGGAAGUGUAGAAAUGCUUUGCUCUUUAAGGGUCAGGUCCAAGAUACUUAUGUGGUCAUCAAUUCUGCUUUAGCCUUUCAAGACUCCUUCAUUCAAGCUAUAGUUCAACAACCAUCUUCGUGUCUCCAACAAUGGACACCUCCACCAUCUAAUGUGUUGAAAGCCAACUUUGAUGCUGUUGUUGAUAUCAAUCAAAAGAAAGGAGUUUGUGCAGUUAUUAUUAGGGAUCACAGAGAAAGGACUUUGAAUUGGGCUACUCAUUUGUAUCCAAGUAUAGAUGAUCCCGUUAUUCUAGAGAGUUUAGCUUGCAGGGAUGCGCUUCAGCUUACAAUUACUAGAGGAUACACAAGAAUCAUCUUUGAAGGAGACUGUCAAGUGUUGAUUAAUGCUAUUCUAAAUCGCCAAUGUCCAAUAAUCAUCCCUAAUAUUGUUCACGAUAUACAGGAAUUGGCUUCUAACCUUCAGUUAGUUUCCUUCCCUUUUGUAUGCUUUCUAGCGCAAAAAGCUCUUCAUUACGUAUCCUUGCAUUUAAACCCUGUUUUCCAACAUAUGUUUGUACUGGGGUUUAUGCCUUGUUGAUUUUUUGAAAUGAAAUUCAUCGUCAGACAAAAAAAAAAAAAAAAAAAUCGUUCAUUCCUACUUGACAUUUAAAUUUUAAAAAUCUCUCUCCCUCUCUCUAUCUAAACAAACACCUAAAUUUUCUUUGCUUGAAAGUGGAGAUUUUCUUUACCGGAAUCAAAGAGGAUAGCUGCUCUCAAAGCCGAAGAGCAAAACCAGUUACAACUUGUGGAACGAGAAGACAUCGAUGAAGAAAAAGACUUUUCGAAGCUAUUGACAAGUUGAUCGCUCAAGGAAUCAAUGCAGGAGAUAUAAAGAAGCUUCUAGAUGCAGCAAAAAUGAGCACAAAUGCUCUCCAGAUUGACAAAGACAGCUGAGGAAUUCCAUGUUGCAGUCUACAUGACUAAUCAAGUUAUUGCUGACCCAGGUGGAGGAGUGUUCAUAUCAGAUCCAAAAAAAACCAGCAGGAGGCCAUGUGCUUGCUCAUGUGGCCACAAUCAGGUCGAUGUUCAGGAAAGGCAAAGGUGGACAACGCAUCUGCGAGGUGCUUGACGCUCCAAAUCUGCCUGAGGCAGAAGCGAUAUCCUUAGUCGUUAUUUUUGCUUUUACACUGAUUGGCUUGAUUACUUUUCCGUUGACGGAUUAAGAAAGUGGUAAAAGCAUUAAAUCAUGAUAAGAUUGCGGAUGAUGUAAAAUCCAAAAUGAACCAGUGCUUAGUCUCUUAUCCUAAUACAAACCACCAAUUAUAAUGCAGUAAUUUAAUUUCCCAAUCAAGAUUUAAAUUGCAAUUUUUCUUGACAGAAACACGCAUUUCAGAUUACACCAGGGGGGAUUGUGGACGCAAAGGACCAGCAGAUAUACAGAACACCGAAGGGCAAAAUAUUAGAAAGUUUUCUUUUCCUGUUUCUACUAGUACAUGUUCGGAGGAAAAUAUAUUUGCUGUUUCUGAUAGUUAAGAGGCAAAGCAAGGGUAUUAACUGUCCUUGUUUGAGCUUUACAUUUAUCCCAACUCUUUAAUGGACUUGCUAUAAGAUGUAUAGGUGAUAUUCUUGCCAUGCUGUGUAUCAUGCUGUGUAUUUUUGAUAUAAAGUUUCACGAGAAAUCUUAGAAUU